rnacentral:rRNA from 1 species
AGAGUUUGAUCCUGGCUCAGGACGAACGCUGGCGGCGUGCCUAAUACAUGCAAGUAGAACGCUGAAGACUUUAGCUUGCUAGAGUUGGAAGAGUUGCGAACGGGUGAGUAACGCGUAGGUAACCUGCCUACUAGCGGGGGAUAACUAUUGGAAACGAUAGCUAAUACCGCAUAACAGUGUUUAACACAUGUUAGAUGCUUGAAAGAUGCAAUUGCAUCACUAGUAGAUGGACCUGCGUUGUAUUAGCUAGUUGGUGGGGUAACGGCCUACCAAGGCGACGAUACAUAGCCGACCUGAGAGGGUGAUCGGCCACACUGGGACUGAGACACGGCCCAGACUCCUACGGGAGGCAGCAGUAGGGAAUCUUCGGCAAUGGGGGCAACCUGACCGAGCAACGCCGCGUGAGUUGAAAGAAGGUUUUCGGAUCGUAAAUCUCUGUUGUAAGAGAAGAACGUGUGUUAUAGUGGAAAGUUCACACAGUGACGGUAACUUACCAGAAAGGGACGGCUAACUACGUGCCAGCAGCCGCGGUAAU